GUGGCUGUAGCUCAGUUGGUUAGAGCAUCGGUUUGUGGUACCGGGGGUCGAGGGUUCAAAUCCCUUCAGCCACC
rnacentral:tRNA from 1 species